GUUGGGAAUAUUGCACAAUGGGCGAAAGCCUGAUGCAGCAACGCCGCGUGCACGAUGAAGGCCUUCGGGUCGUAAAGUGCUUUUCUGCAGGACGAGGAAGGACGGUACUGUAGGAAUAAGGAUCGGCUAACUACGUGCCAGCAGCCGCGGUAAAACGUAGGAUCCGAGCGUUAUCCGAAUUCACUGGGCGUAAAGCGCUUGCAGGCGGCUGGAUAAGUUGGAUGUGAAAUCUCCUGGCUCAACUGGGAGAGGCCGUUCAAGACUGUCUGGCUAGAGGGCGAUAGAGGGAGGUGGAAUUCCCGGUGUAGUGGUGAAAUGCGUAGAUAUCGGGAGGAACACCAGAGGCGAAAGCGGCCUCCUGGAUCGCACCUGACGCUCAGAAGCGAAAGCUAGGGGAGCGAACGGGAUUAGAAACCCGAGUAGUCC
rnacentral:rRNA from 1 species